rnacentral:rRNA from 1 species
GACGAACGCUGGCGGCGUGCCUAAUACAUGCAAGUCGAACGCAGUGGGGACGGGUGAGUAACACGUGGGUAACCUCACAUCAGAGGGGAUAACACUUGGAAACAGGUGCUAAACAGAUACUGAUGGAAUGACACGCGGUGCAUUAUCUAGUUGGUGAGGUAACGACUCACCAAGGCCACGAUGCAGAGCAGACCUGAGAGGGUGAAUGGCCCCACUGGGACUGAGACACGGCCCAGACUCCGACGGGAGGAAGUAGUAGCGCAUCGUCGGCAAUGGACGAAAGUACGACCGAGCAACGCCUCGUGGUGGCCGAAGGUUUUCGGAUCUUAAAACUCUAUUGUCAGCGAACCGGUAUCUAACCAGAAGGCCACGGCUAACUACGUGCCAGCCGCCGCGGUAAUUC